rnacentral:rRNA from 1 species
AUGUUGCUCUGCCCGAUUCCUUCGAGGCUCCCCAUCCAUGUCCCUCGCUGUGUCUUUCUUUCCUCCGCUUGGUCUCUGCCGCCCAGCUCACUCACCGUCGUCGAUACCGCAUUGAUCUCGCACCCGUUGCUGCCGCUGCUCGCUCAUCGUCGCCGGAACGUGGUACCUGCAUCUCUUGCGCGUGUGGAGAGGUCGCACACCCUGCUGGCACGCCCGCUCGCCGUUGCCUAUCCGGGAGGGUCGCGCUCGCCCGGACUGCAUCGAGUCCUCCCGAGCGCCGUGCCGCGCCACGUCCAGAAAUGA